CAGGAGUUGAAGCAGCUGACCGAGAGCCUCAAGUUGCAAGUGGAGUAUUCCUGCACCGAGGGCGAGAAGGAUUUCAACCGACGCAAGAACAGAUACAGGGACAUCCUACCCUAUGACUACAGCCGCAUGGUGCUGAGUACCUUCCCGGGGGUGCCUGGCAGCGACUACAUCAAUGCCAACUUUAUCCGGGGUGCCAGUGGGUCCCAGGCCUAUAUUGGGUCUCAGGGACCGCUGCCCCACACCGUGCCAGACUUCUGGAGGAUGGUGGUGGAGUGCGAGGUGCAGGUCAUCAUUAUGGCAUCGAACGAGACGGAAGGCGGAAAGGUAAGCCAGUAUUCUCAACUCCAGCAAUUUUUUAUUAUUGUUUUUUACUUUUUAAUUUUUUUAGCUACUUCCUCAACCAUAAAAAAUAAUAAAUGUCGAUACUGACCUCUCGUGACCUUUCCCUUAUGGCAUGGAAUGAGACGGAAGGUGGAAAGGUAAGCCGAUAUUCUCAACUCAAACAAUCUUUUUAAUUAUUUUUUUAGCUACUUCCUUAACCAUAAAAAAAUAGUAUAUAAAUGCCGAUAUUGACCUCCCCUGACCUCUCGUGACCUCUCCCUGACCUUAGGGCAGCACACGUGUGAAU